rnacentral:rRNA from 1 species
GAUGAACGCUGGCGGCGUGCCUAAUACAUGCAAGUCGAGCGAACAGACGAGGAGCUUGCUCCUCUGACGUUAGCGGCGGACGGGUGAGUAACACGUGGAUAACCUACCUAUAAGACUGGGAUAACUUCGGGAAACCGGAGCUAAUACCGGAUAAUAUAUUGAACCGCAUGGUUCAAUAGUGAAAGACGGUUUUGCUGUCACUUAUAGAUGGAUCCGCGCCGCAUUAGCUAGUUGGUAAAGUAACGGCUUACCAAGGCGACGAUGCGUAGCCGACCUGAGAGGGUGAUCGGCCACACUGGAACUGAGACACGGUCCAGACUCCUACGGGAGGCAGCAGUAGGGAAUCUUCCGCAAAGGGCGAAAGCCUGACGGAGCAACGCCGCGUGAGUGAUGAAGGUCUUCGGAUCGUAAAACUCUGUUAUUAGGGAAGAACAAAUGUGUAAGUAACUAUGCACGUCUUGACGGUACCUAAUCAGAAAGCCACGGCUAACUACGUG